rnacentral:tRNA from 2 species
GCGGGAGUGGCGAAAUUGGUAGACGCACAAGAUUUAGGUUCUUGCGCCCUAGGUGUAAGGGUUCGAGUCCCUUCUCCCGCACCA